CCCGCUAUUCGGAGGUUCGAAUCCUUCCGUCCCAG
rnacentral:tRNA from 3 species